rnacentral:piRNA from 1 species
UACAGGACAAACAACAGGUAGCCACCCAGG